UCCGGUUUGUCACCGGCAGUCUGGCGUGAGUCCCCAACUUAAUGCUGGCAACACGCCACGGGGGUUGCGCUCGUUGCGGGACUUAACCCAACAUCUCACGACACGAGCUGACGACAGCCAUGCAGCACCUGUGGCACACCCUCGAAGGUCACACGUUUCCGUGCGCUUGCAGUGCCAUGUCAAGUCCAGGUAAGGUUCUUCGCGUUGCAUCGAAUUAAAGAACAUGCUCCGCUGCUUGUGCGGGCCCCCGUCAAUUCUUUUGAGUUUCAACCUUGCGGCCGUACUCCCCAGGCGGCUCAUUUAAUGCGUUAGCUUCGGCGCGGGAGGGGUCGAUACCUUCCACACCUAAUGAGCAUCGUUUACGGCGUGGACUAC
rnacentral:misc_RNA from 1 species